ACCAGCUGCCUCCAGUUCAUCUUUAACACCAUCAACCAUGUUCUCUGUUUCUCUGCUGCUGCUGCUGGCAGCUGCUUCCUGUGUUUACAGUGACAUUGAACUCAUCCAGUCUGGACCUGUGGUUGUGAAGCCAGGAGAGUCUUUCUCCAUCUCCUGUAAACCCUCUGGGUUUUCUGUCUCCUCUUAUUGCAUUCGCUGGAUAAGGCAACCUGAGGGAAAACCUCUGAGUUACAUUGGGUAUACCUGCACUAGCAGCCAGUCUACAGUAGACUCACUCAAGAACAAGAUCAGCUCCAGAUAUGACAGCUCCAGCAGCACAGCGUUUCUAGAAGGGAGGAACCUGCAGUCUGAAGACACAGCUGUGUAUUACUGUGCUAGAGACUCACAAUGA